rnacentral:rRNA from 1 species
AUUGAACGCUGGCGGCAUGCUUUACACAUGCAAGUCGAACGGCAGCACGGGCUUCGGCCUGGUGGCGAGUGGCGAACGGGUGAGUAAUAUAUCGGAACGUACCCAGAAGUGGGGGAUAACGUAGCGAAAGUUACGCUAAUACCGCAUACGAUCUAUGGAUGAAAGCAGGGGACCGCAAGGCCUUGUGCUCCUGGAGCGGCCGAUAUCUGAUUAGCUAGUUGGUGAGGUAAAGGCUCACCAAGGUGACGAUCAGUAGCUGGUCUGAGAGGACGACCAGCCACACUGGAACUGAGACACGGUCCAGACUCCUACGGGAGGCAGCAGUGGGGAAUUUUGGACAAUGGGCGCAAGCCUGAUCCAGCAAUGCCGCGUGAGUGAAGAAGGCCUUCGGGUUGUAAAGCUCUUUUGUCAGGGAAGAAACGGUAGAGGCUAAUAUCCUUUGCUAAUGACGGUACCUGAAGAAUAAGCACCGGCUAACUACGUG